UAUGUAUGUCUGUUUCUUUGUGGCCUCCUGUAGCCUAAACGGCUUGAUCGAUUUUGAUGUAUGAGUAAGUAAGUAAGUAAGUAAGUAAAUAUUCUUUAUUGUGCACCAUACAUUUAAAAAUAGACAGGAAAUGAAAAAACACGUAAAAGUUAGGUAACAACAGGCGGUCUUAUCGCUAAGAAGCGAUCUCUUCCAGACAACCUUUGGGUAGCAGGAAACAAUGAACUUACAACAUUGAACGGGUAGUGCCGAUAUACAUAUAAUUCAACAAAAUGAAGACGCAAACAAUAUAAUACAUACCUACAUACUAAUAAAAUAAAUACAUAUAUACAUACAUACAUUAUA